CCAAACUUGGUCAUUUAGAGGAAGUAAAAGUCGUAACAAGGUCUCCGUUGGUGAACCAGCGGAGGGAUCAUUACUGAGUGUAAAAACUCCCAAACCCUAUGCAAACCUACCAAAGUUGCUUCGGCGGCCUAAAUCGCCCCGGGCGCCCUCGCGGCGCCCCGGACCCAGGCGACCGCCGGAGGCCCCAAACUCCUGAAUUACAGUGGAUUUUCUGAGUGGCAUAAGCAAAUAAAUCAAAACUUUCAGCAACGGAUCUCUUGGUUCUGGCAUCGAUGAAGAACGCAGC
rnacentral:misc_RNA from 1 species